UCAAGUAGAAAAGGGCGCAUGGUGAAUGCCUAGGCACUAGAAGCCGAUGAAGGACGUGACGAACCACGAAAGGCUUCGGGGAGCAGUAAGUAAGCGAUGAUCCGGAGAUAUCCGAAUGGGGGAACCCAAUACCGCGAGGUAUUAUCAAGAGCUGUUAAGGCUGUUGAAGGAAGACGCAGUGAACUGAAACAUCUAAGUAGCUGCAGGAAGAGAAAGAAAAAUCGAUUUCCCAAGUAGCGGCGAGCGAACAGGAAAGAGCCCAAACCAGCUGGCUUGCCAGUUGGGGUAGUAGGACUGCAAUAAAGUACUUGAAGCGAUAGCAGAAUUAUCUGGAAAGAUAAGCCAGAGAGGGUGAGAGCCCCGUAAGCGAAAUUGCAGAGAGACUUAGCAGGAUCCUGAGUAGGUCGGGACACGAGGAAUCCCGAUUGAAACCGCGAGGACCAUCUCGCAAGGCUAAAUACUAACUAGUGACCGAUAGUGAACCAGUACCGUGAGGGAAAGGUGAAAAGAACCCCGGAAGGGGAGUGAAAGAGAACCUGAAACCGUGUGCCUACAAGUAGUCAAAGCACAUUAAAGUGUAAUGGCGUGCCUUUUGUAGAAUGAACCGGCGAGUUACGUUAUGGUGCAAGGUUAAGUCAGAAAAGACGGAGCCGGAGCGAAAGCGAGUCUGAAGAGGGCGAGAGAGUAUCAUGACGUAGACCCGAAACCAAGUGACCUACCCAUGACCAGGUUGAAGGCGUGGUAAAACACGCUGGAGGACCGAACCCACGUGAGUUAAAAAUCGCGGGGAUGAGUUGUGGGUAGCGGUGAAAUUCCAAACGAACUUGGAGAUAGCUGGUUCUCUCCGAAAUAGCUUUAGGGCUAGCCUCGUGUGAAUGAUAAUGGAGGUAGAGCGCUGUUUGGACUAGGGGCCCGUCAGGGGUUACUGAAUCCAGAUAAACUCCGAAUGCCAGAUAUCAAUGCACGGGAGUCAGACUGCGAGUGAUAAGAUCCGUAGUCGAAAGGGAAACAGCCCAGAUCACCAGUUAAGGUCCCCAAAUCUAUGCUAAGUGGAAAAGGAUGUGGAGUUGCGUAGACAACUAGGAUGUUGGCUUAGAAGCAGCCACCAUUUAAAGAGUGCGUAAUAGCUCACUAGUCGAGUGACGCUGCGCCGAAAAUGUACCGGGGCUAAGCAUAGUACCGAAACUGUGGAUGCAUAUCAAAGGAUAUGCGUGGUAGGAGAGCGUUCUAAGAGCGGCGAAGUUAGAUCGAGAGGACUAAUGGAGCGCUUAGAAGUGAGAAUGCCGGUAUGAGUAGCGAAAGAUAGGUGAGAAUCCUAUCCGCCGAAAGACUAAGGUUUCCUGGGGCAGGCUCGUCCGCCCAGGGUAAGUCGGGACCUAAGGUAAGGCCGAGAGGCGUAGCCGAUGGACAACAGGUAGAGAUUCCUGUACUGAAAUUGUUCGAUAAGAGCAAAGGAGGGACGCAGGAGGCUAAUGACGCAUGUAGCUGGAAAAACAUGUGCAAGCAGUAAGAAAAAAGAUGAGUCAAAUGCUUAUGUUUAGAUUUCAAGCUGUGACGCGGAGUGAAAUCAAAGUAGCGAAGGUCAUGAUGUCACACUGCCAAGAAAAGCUUCUAGCCAGAGCAAUUUUACCCGUACCGCAAACCGACACAGGUAGUCGAGUGGAGAACACUCAGGUGAGCGAGAGAACUCUCGUUAAGGAACUCGGCAAAAUGACCCCGUAACUUCGGGAGAAGGGGUGCUGAUGGUAAAAGAUCAGCCGCAGUGAAUAGGCCCAAACAACUGUUUAUCAAAAACACAGGUAUCUGCAAAAUCGUAAGAUGACGUAUAGGUGCUGACACCUGCCCGGUGCUGGAAGGUUAAGAGGAGAGCUUAGCGCAAGCGAAGGUUUGAAUUGAAGCCCCAGUAAACGGCGGCCGUAACUAUAACGGUCCUAAGGUAGCGAAAUUCCUUGUCGGGUAAGUUCCGACCUGCACGAAAGGUGUAAUGAUUUGGGCACUGUCUCAACGAGAGACUCGGUGAAAUUAUAAUACCCGUGAAGAUGCGGGUUACCCGCGACAGGACGGAAAGACCCCAUGGAGCUUUACUGUAGUUUGAUAUUGAGUAUUUGUUAAACAUGUACAGGAUAGGUAGGAGCCAGAGAAAGUAGGACGCUAGUCUUACUGGAGGCAAUGUUGGGAUACUACCCUUGUUUGAUGGAUCCUCUAACUCGCAGAGCUGAGCGUUCUGGAGGACAGUGUCAGGUGGGCAGUUUGACUGGGGCGGUCGCCUCCUAAAAUGUAACGGAGGCGCCCAAAGGUUCCCUCAGAAUGGUUGGAAAUCAUUCGCAGAGUG
rnacentral:rRNA from 1 species